rnacentral:rRNA from 1 species
CAGUCGCCACGGGAAUACGGAGGGUGCAAGCGUUGUCCGGAUUUAUUGGGUUUAAAGGGUGCGCAGGCGGUUAUAUAAGACAGAUGUGAAAUCCCCGGGCUCAACCUGGGAACUGCAUUUGUGACUGGCGAGCUAGAGUAUGGCAGAGGGGGGUAGAAUUCCACGUGUAGCAGUGAAAUGCGUAGAGAUCGGGAGGAACAUCAGUGGCGAAGGUGGCCAUCUGGGACAACACUGACGCUGAGGAGCGAAAGCAUGGGGAGCGAACAGGAUUAGAUACCCCCGUAGUCCUGUCUCUUAUACA